rnacentral:tRNA from 1 species
GGGAAUGUGGCUCAGUGGUAGAGUGCUUGCCUUGCAUGCAUGAGGCCCUGGGUUCAAUCCCCAACAUUGUCA